UAAUAGGAAAGUAAGGGCGCAUGGCGGAUGCCUAGGCUCUUGAUAGCGACGAAGGACGCAACAUGGCGGCGAUACGUUUCGGGGAGGUGCCCAAAAACCUUUGAUCCGGAAAUUUCCGAAUGGGGAAACCCUAUAGAAUAAACUUCUAUAACUCUUACUCUAGUAAGAGAGCAGACCCAGGGAAGUGAAACAUCUCAGUACCUGGAGGAACAGAAACCAAACAGAAUUCCCUAAGUAGCGGCGAGCGAAAAGGGAGAAGCCCAAACCCGAUUCAUCACACUGGGCGUAUGUAAACUUCGGUUUAUAUAUUCGUAGUGUGAUGUGAUUGGGGGUUAUAAGAUGGCAGUGGUAUGUAAAAUACAAAAAGUUACAAAUUGUAGUGAUAGCUGAAACUUCUGGGAAGAAGUGUCGUAGAAGGUGAAAACCCUGUAAGCGAAAUUACUACAACUUUUUUUGCCAAUCUUGAGUACUCCAAGACAUGAAUAGCUUGGAGGAAUUUGCCGGAACUAACCGGUAAGGCUAAAUAUAUCAAGAGACCGAUAGUGAACUAGUACCGUGAGGGAAAGGUGAAAAGCAGUCCGGAAGGACGGUGAAAUAGACCUGAAACCAUGUGCCUACAAGGAGUCGGAGCGGAUGCAAUUUAUUGCAUACCGUCACGGCGUGCCUAUUGAAGAAUGAGCCAACGAGUUUUAGCAUGUGGCUUGGCUAAGAGGAUAAAGCCUCGGAGCCGUAGGGAAACCAAGUAUGAAUAGUGCGCUUGUCAUAUGCUAAAGACCCGAAGCCAGGUGAGCUACCCAUGAGCAGGAUGAACUUUCAAGAAGUUGAAAGGGAGGUCCGAACCGGUGAGCCGUACAAUACUCUCGGAUGACUUGUGGGUUGGAGUGAAAAGCUAA
rnacentral:rRNA from 1 species